GGUGUGGAGUGCAGUGGAGACCUGCAUGCCUUGCUUGCCAUGUGGAUGGUCCUCCCCAACCAAGCUGCUAGUCUGCAAGGGUCUCUCGGUGUAAACUGAGAAAUCCUGGCAGUCAAUGACCUGGGGACCGGCUCAGGCUGGCAACAGAGCAAGCAAAACUGGGCGCUAGCAGCAGUGGUGGGACAAAGGA
rnacentral:SRP_RNA from 1 species